CGGCCGGCAGAUCGGCACGCCCGCCACGCUGUGGCCGUGGCAGGAGCAGCCGCUGAUCGUGGCGGUGCCGGUCAAC
rnacentral:tRNA from 1 species